CCCUCAACACCUGAAGAGUGUUGUUGCCUUGGACAAACUCUGAGCUUCAAUUUCUAUUGCUCAACACUUUUUGUUUUGACCAUCUUGUUAUUGCUAUGUCAACUUUCACGAGUAUUUUUUCAUUCUUUCCCAUUUGUGUCCUUUAUGCUCCCUUGUUCACUUUCUCUUUUCCUUUCCAACUGCGUUUUCUAGUGGAUAGUGCAAGCUCAAAGUAUCAUUUCAAGGGAUCUUGUCUACUGUUGCCUUGUCUAUUCAAAUGGUACAACUGGAAUGAAGUGCAUGGGCAGCUUUAAUCCACCACCCCAUAAAAUUUAAGACAAAGCACUAGGUUCUACAUGUUCGAUCUAAUCAAGGACCCUCUUAUUUUGUUGGGUCCUUCUUGUUGGCUGAAGUACAUAGGCUAGUUAGUAUUUCAGUUAUUUGAUUCCCUUGAGGCGGUUUGUAUAUAAUCUAGUGAAGAACAAACUGCUUAGAAGAACAAACUGCUUAGCCUUCCCAGCCCCAUCACCCUUUGAUUGGUGAUACUCUUAAAAAUGGACAUUGUAGUUUAUCAAUAUUCAUCAACCUUCUACGUUCUGAUUCCAUGCUGCUAAAGUCUAUAAUUUUCUUUGUCUAUUGCUGUAUUAGUUAGGUAGUCUGUCAAUUUAUUUCCUUCUCUCAGUAUGUGUUGGAACUUAUGUUGUUUAUUUUCUAAGAGUUGAUGAAUUUAUUAUACUA